UUUUCCCUUAAAGGGAAAAUCCACUGUCAAACACGAGCCGCACAUCAAUGGCAAGUGACAGACUUUUAACUCCAAUCUGAGUGAUUUCCAUGGUUUCUACUGAGAGGUGUGCGUCAUUUUUUAUGCCAGUGAAAUGCAUUGUAAAAUUUGAGAAAAAUGGGUCCAUUUGAAAAUAACUCUUUCUCUCUGUUCUGGUUUUCAUCCUCCAGUGGUGGCGUUAUCCUCCUUAUAAUCUUGGACAGUUCAGUCCAUUUCAACAUGUAUUAGCACUGAGUCACCAGCUACAUCAAAGGUGUAGGAGCCUCCAGCUUUUGCCCUGUUCAGAAUGACCGGUUUGAGUGCCUGUUCCUUUAAAUGACAAUGAGCUGCUGCUCACCUCACCCCCCUCUUCUGCGGGGUGUGCCAACACAAGUAUGGCUUCACACUACCAUGGCAACUGUUGAGCGUGAACCCUGGAAGAAACAUGGCUGCCAAAGAAAACAGCGCUGCCGCCAUAUAUGCUUGAACCAGAGUCAGACCCUGAGCAAGAAGAGGCUCCCGAACAAGUUUGAGCAUCAAAGAUAAAACAGGAUGUUUCUGAAUGCCAUUACAGAUACUCGGCCUACAGAAGCUUUGUAAGCUGGUGUUGGGGCUUUCUGGGCUGGAGAAUCCGAGCUGCC